UCCGCAGUAGCUCAAUCGGCAGAGCAUCCGGCUGUUAACCGGAGGGUUCCAGGUUCGACCCCUGGCUGCGGAG
rnacentral:tRNA from 1 species